rnacentral:rRNA from 1 species
GACGAACGCUGGCGGCGUGCCUAACACAUGCAAGUCGAACGGGGUCCAUGGGAGCUUGCUUCCGGAAGACCUAGUGGCGAACGGGUGAGUAACACGUGAGGAACUUGCCCCAGACUCGGGGAUAACUCAGGGAAACUUGAGCUAAUACCGGAUACCCUCCUUGGACCGCAUGGUCCGCUGAGGAAAGUUUUUCGGUCUGGGAGAGCCUCGCGGCCUAUCAGCUAGUUGGUGAGGUAACGGCUCACCAAGGCGACGACGGGUAGCUGGUUUGAGAGAACGAUCAGCCACACUGGGACUGAGACACGGCCCAGACUCCUACGGGAGGCAGCAGUGGGGAAUCUUGCGCAAUGGGCGAAAGCCUGACGCAGCAACGCCGCGUGCGGGAUGAAGGCCUUCGGGUUGUAAACCGCUUUCAGCAGGGACGAAGAUGACGGUACCUGCAGAAGAAGCCCCGGCUAACUACGUGCCAGCCGCCGCUGUAACAC